UGGUGAAGUGAUUUGUCUGUGUUAAUUCCGAUAACGAACGAGACCUUGACUUACAUGUUUAAAUCUGCAUGAUACUAAUUUCCUACUUAUGGUGUUCCUUUUCUUUUAAAGGCUUCACCUUGGAAACUCAUGUAUGUGCAUUUCGUAUUUCUUUGUGCAUGGUUUUUUAAAUCGUGUUCAAUUGCGGAUUGUAUUUAACCUUGAAGGACGAUUCAUUUAUUAUAGUGAAAGGAAGAGCGAGG
rnacentral:rRNA from 1 species